rnacentral:rRNA from 7 species
AAUCAAGUGCCUUAAGGGUGUUCGGUGGAUGCCUUGGCGCUGAGAGGCGAUGAAGGACGUGCUACGCUGCGAUAAGCCGUGGGGAGCUGCGAAGAAGCUUUGAUCCAUGGAUUUCCGAAUGGGGAAACCCACCUUCGAUAGCCGGAACUCCAAGACCUCAGUCGAAAGACUGUGGUGUGGGGUUCGAACAGAAAUGUGAGAUUCCUGGACCUUUAGAUUUCGAUCGAAGAGGUUUUGGAUUUCCGGUUAUCAAGAGAAGGUAUGAGACUUCUGAAUACAUAGGAGGUUUCAAGCAAACCCAGGGAACUGAAACAUCUAAGUACCUGGAGGAAAGGACAUCAACAGAGACUCCGUUAGUAGUGGCGAGCGAACGCGGACCAGGCC